GUUUCGUGUGAACAGCCGUUGCACACGAGUCMGUCGAUCCUAAGUCCUAGGGGAAACCCGACGCAUCGGGCCGGAGGCCGGGCCGGACGAAAGGGAAUCCGGUUCCCAUUCCGGAACCCGGUCGCGGAACCGUCUCACGUCGGGCCCCCCGGCCCCGCGCCGCGGCGGCGGGGGGGAAGCUCGUCGGGGCGACCCAAAAUGACCCGGAGAAGCCGUCGGGAGGUCGGGGAAGAGUUUUCUUUUCUGUUUGAGCGUUCGGGUUCCCUGGAAUCGCCUAGAGCGGAGAGAGGGAAUGGAGCGCGUAGAGCACCGCAGUUGCGGCGGUGUCCCGACACGCCCCUCGGACCGUGAAAAUCCGGGGACGGGCCACGUGGAGGUCUCGCGCCGGUUCGUACCCAUAUCCGCAGCAGGUCUCCAAGGUGAAGAGCCUCUAGUCGAUGGACUAAUGUAGGUAAGGGAAGUCGGCAAACCGGAUCC
rnacentral:rRNA from 1 species